GUGUGAGGGUAAUCUGGCUGCAGCAUUCCUGUUGAAAACCAGGGUUGCUUUGGUUAAUCUGCCUGGCUAGACAGUGCCAUCCCCUUCCCACACAGGC
ensembl:misc_RNA 7SK 7SK RNA